rnacentral:rRNA from 1 species
GACGAACGCUGGCGGCGUGCCUAAUACAUGCAAGUAGAACGCUGAAGGAGGAGCUUGCUUCUCUGGAUGAGUUGCGAACGGGUGAGUAACGCGUAGGUAACCUGCCGGUAGCUGGGGAUAACUAUUGGAAACGAUAGCUAAUACCGCAUAAUAGUAGAUGUUGCAUGACAUUUGCUUAAAAGGUGCAAUUGCAUCCCUACCAGAUGGACUUGCGUUGUAUUAGCUAGUUGGUGGGGUAACGGCUCACCAAGGCGACGAUACAUAGCCGACCUGAGAGGGUGGUCGGCCCAAAUGGGACUGAGACACGGCCCAGACCCCUACGGGAGGCAGCAGGAGGGGAUCUUCGGGAAAGGGAGGAAGGCUGAACGAGCAACGCCGCGGGGGGGAAGGAGGUUUUCGGAUCGGAAAGGUCUGUUGUAAGAGAAGAACGAGUGUGAGAGUGGAAAGUUCACACUGUGACGGUAACUUACCAGAAAGGGACGGCUAACUACGUG